GUGUAGGCUGGUGUGUGAGCUGUCUUUGUACAAACUCAUGAACGUGAUCAGAAAAUACAAUGUCAAAUCCAACGGCCAAAGGCUCUUGACUAUAACCGCGGCAUUCAUUUCCUCAUUAAAUGCCACAUAGAGUAAUAUUUUCUAGUGUUUCUAAAAGCAUAGUGGGGAGUGGCAUUAAACAGAUGUGUUAGUAUGAAAAAAAAAUUAUUAGGAGAGACAAAACUUACUUAGAUAAUUUCUACACCUGGAAGGUUAGUCUUACGAAAGAUAUCUUGUUUUCAGAAAAAAGAAUAUAUGUUUUUAAUUUAGAUUUUCUUCACCAUUUCUCUUACUAACUGUUAGAUUAUGUUACCAUAAUCUUGGCACGGUAAGUAUGGGAGUAUUUUACAUAUUUAUAUGAUGUACACACAAAACAAGGCCAAUGAGAGGCAGCCACUUAUAGGUGGGGAAGAAGCAGCUUCUUCAGAGAGUGAGUGCUUUUUCUGGACCCGUGAGAUUCCAUGGCUUCAGUUGGUGCAGUCAAUUGCAAAUUCUUCUUGUGUCUACUUCUAUGGCUCUGGAACUUUCUACCUCCUUCUCAAGGUAAUAAGCACUGGCAUGAAAAUAGAUACCCUUUUAUCAGAAAUGCAAGCUCAUUCUCAUCACCGUCAAUUUCAACUACCACCUGCAAUAAUGCCUAUGACUACAUAAUAGUUGGAGGUGGCACAGCAGGGUGUCCUUUGGCUGCAACCCUGUCUCAGAACUUCAGUGUUUUGGUGCUUGAAAGAGGGGGUGUUCCUUUCACCAACCCCAAUGUUUCGUUUCUAGAGAACUUCCACAUUACCUUGGCAGACAUUUCACCAACUUCAGCUUCUCAAUACUUCAUUUCAACUGAUGGAGUCUACAAUUCAAGGGCAAGGGUCUUGGGAGGUGGAAGUUCUAUCAAUGCUGGCUUCUACACUAGAGCAAACCCAAGGUUUAUAAAGAAGGUGGGGUGGGAUGCCAAGCUAGUAAAUCAGUCAUAUCCAUGGGUUGAGAAGCAAAUUGUCCACCGUCCAAAGUUUUCACCUUAUCAGAGAGCAUUUAGAGACAGUCUUCUCGACUCUGGUGUGUCACCCUUUAAUGGCUUCACCUAUGAUCAUCUCUAUGGAACAAAGGUUGGUGGAACCAUUUUCGACAGAUUUGGCCGCCGCCACACGGCUGCUGAACUGCUUGCUUCAGGGAACCAGGACAAACUUACUGUUUUGGUCUAUGCCACUGUCCAAAAGAUUGUGUUUGAUACAAGAGGAAAGAAACCAAAAGCUGUGGGGGUUAUUUUCCAAGAUGAACAUGGGAAACAGCACGAGGCUAUUCUGUCAAAUGAUAGGCAUAGUGAAGUGAUUAUGUCUAGUGGGGCAAUUGGGACUCCUCAAUUGCUAAUGCUUAGUGGAAUAGGGCCAAAAGCAGAACUCCAGAAGUUGAACAUCCCAGUGGUCCUUGACAACCCCUUUGUUGGGAAAGGAAUGGUAGACAAUCCCAUGAACACAAUGUUUAUUCCUUCUAAUAGACCAGUUCAUCAGUCACUCAUAGAAACUGUUGGUAUCACCAAGAUGGGUGUGUACAUUGAGGCUAGCAGUGGGUUUAGUCAGUCCAAUGAUAGCAUUCACUGCCACCAUGGUAUCAUGUCAGCUGAGAUUGGGCAGCUGUCCACAAUUCCUCCUAAGAAAAGAUCACCAGAAGCUGUUCAAGAAUUUAUCAAGAACAAGAAAGACCUACCGGUUGAAUUAUUCAAGGGAGGAUUUAUUUUGUCAAAAGUUGCCAAUCCUUGGUCAGUAGGUGAGCUCAGGCUGAACAACACCAAUGUGAAUGACAACCCUGUCGUUACCUUCAACUACUUCAGUCAUCCAUAUGAUCUUCAUCGCUGUGUCAAGGGGAUCCGCUUGGCCAUUAAGGUUGCCCAGUCAAAACACUUCACAAACUACACUUUGUGUGACAAAAAAACCUCAGAGGAACUGCUCAACCUCACUGUCAAGGCUAAUGUCAACUUCAUAACCAAGCAUCCCAAUGACACAGCGUCGAUAGCGCAGUUCUGCAAAGACACCGUGAUCACAAUUUGGCACUACCAUGGAGGGUGCCAUUUGGGGAAGGUAGUCAGCCCUGAUUACAAGGUUCUUGGUGUUGACAGACUCCGCGUGGUAGAUGGCUCAACAUUUGAUGAAUCACCUGGAACAAAUCCUCAAGCAACUGUCAUGAUGAUGGGCAGGUACAUGGGGCUGAAGAUUUUGAGAGAUAGGUUGGGGAAAUUGGCUGGUAUAUAAGGAGGAAUGCCUUGGUAUAUAAGGUCUUGAAAAAAGGUGUAAAAGGAAGAUAAGAGAAGCACUGUUGCACAUCAAGGAAAAAAAAGUGCUAGUGGAAAAAAAGGAAACGUCAUUCUGGAUAUUUAGAAACUUGAAGGCAAAUUAUAGAAACAAACGAAGAGAGGGA